GCAAGUCGAGCGGUAAGGCCUUUCGGGGUACACGAGCGGCGAACGGGUGAGUAACACGUGGGUGAUCUGCCCUGCACUCUGGGAUAAGCCUGGGAAACUGGGUCUAAUACCGGAUAUGACCUGUCCUUGCAUGGGGGUGGGUGGAAAGAUUUAUCGGUGCAGGAUGGGCCCGCGGCCUAUCAGCUUGUUGGUGGGGUAAUGGCCUACCAAGGCGACGACGGGUAGCCGACCUGAGAGGGUGACCGGCCACACUGGGACUGAGACACGGCCCAGACUCCUACGGGAGGCAGCAGUGGGGAAUAUUGCACAAUGGGCGGAAGCCUGAUGCAGCGACGCCGCGUGAGGGAUGAAGGCCUUCGGGUUGUAAACCUCUUUCAGCAGGGACGAAGCGUGAGUGACGGUACCUGCAGAAGAAGCACCGGCUAACUACGUGCCAGCAGCCGCGGUAAUACGUAGGGUGCGAGCGUUGUCCGGAAUUACUGGGCGUAAAGAGUUCGUAGGCGGUUUGUCGCGUCGUUUGUGAAAACCCGGGGCUCAACUUCGGGCUUGCAGGCGAUACGGGCAGACUUGAGUGUUUCAGGGGAGACUGGAAUUCCUGGUGUAGCGGUGAAAUGCGCAGAUAUCAGGAGGAACACCGGUGGCGAAGGCGGGUCUCUGGGAAACAACUGACGCUGAGGAACGAAAGCGUGGGUAGCAAACAGGAUUAGAUACCCUGGUAGUCCACGCCGUAAACGGUGGGCGCUAGGUGUGGGUUCCUUCCACGGGAUCUGUGCCGUAGCUAA
rnacentral:rRNA from 1 species